rnacentral:tRNA from 1 species
GCCUGGGUGGCUCAGUUGGAAGAGCAUGUGACUCUCAAUCUCCAGGUCAUGAGUUUGAGUCCCAUAUGGGGUG